rnacentral:rRNA from 1 species
GGACUACACGGGUUUCUAAUCCUGUUUGCUCCCCACGCUUUCGCACCUCAGCGUCAAUAUUGGCCCAGGUCGCCGCCUUCGCCACUGGUGUUCCUCCCGAUAUCUACGAAUUUCACCUCUACACCGGGAAUUCCGCGACCCUCUUCCAUAUUCAAGUCUGCUAGUUUCGAAUGCACUUCCUGGGUUGAGCCCAGGGCUUUCACAUCCGACUUAACAGACCGCCUACGUGCGCUUUACGCCCAAUGAUUCCGAGCAACGUUUGCACCCUCCGUAUUACCGCGGCGGCUGGCAC